rnacentral:rRNA from 1 species
AGUGAACGCUGGCGGUAGGCCUAACACAUGCAAGUCGAACGGCAGCACAGUAAGAGCUUGCUCUUACGGGUGGCGAGUGGCGGACGGGUGAGGAAUACAUCGGAAUCUACUUUUUCGUGGGGGAUAACGUAGGGAAACUUACGCUAAUACCGCAUACGACCUACAGGUGAAAGCAGGGGAUCUUCGGACCUUGCGCGAUUGAAUGAGCCGAUGUCGGAUUAGCUAGUUGGCGGGGGAAAGGCCCACCAAGGCGACGAUCCGUAGCUGGUCUGAGAGGAUGAUCAGCCACACUGGAACUGAGACACGGUCCAGACUCCUACGGGAGGCAGCAGUGGGGAAUAUUGGACAAUGGGCGCAAGCCUGAUCCAGCCAUACCGCGUGGGUGAAGAAGGCCUUCGGGUUGUAAAGCCCUUUUGUUGGGAAAGAAAAGCAGCAGGUUAAUACCCCGCUGUUCUGACGGUACCCAAAGAAUAAGCACCGACUAACUUCGUG